CGCUAGCUACAGGCUUAACACAUGCAAGUCGAGGGGAAACGAUAUUGGAAGCCUGCUUCCGAUAGGCGUCGACCGGCGCACGGGUGAGUAACGCGUAUCCAACCUGCCCACCACUUGGGGAUAACCUUGCGAAAGUAAGACUAAUACCCAAUGAUAUCUCUAGAAGGCAUCUGAAAGAGAUUAAAGAUUUAUCGGUGAUGGAUGGGGAUGCGUCUGAUUAGCUUGUUGGCGGGGUAACGGCCCACCAAGGCAACGAUCAGUAGGGGUUCUGAGAGGAAGGUCCCCCACAUUGGAACUGAGACACGGUCCAAACUCCUACGGGAGGCAGCAGUGAGGAAUAUUGGUCAAUGGACGAGAGUCUGAACCAGCCAAGUAGCGUGCAGGAUGACGGCCCUAUGGGUUGUAAACUGCUUUUAUAAGGGAAUAAAGUGAGAGUCGUGACUCUUUUUGCAUGUACCUUAUGAAUAAGGACCGGCUAAUUCCGUGCCAGCAGCCGCGGUAAUACGGAAGGUCCGGGCGUUAUCCGGAUUUAUUGGGUUUAAAGGGAGCGUAGGCCGGAGAUUAAGCGUGUUGUGAAAUGUAGACGCUCAACGUUUGCACUGCAGCGCGAACUGGUUUCCUUGAGUACGCACAAAGUGGGCGAAGUUCGUGGUGUAGCGGUGAAAUGCUUAGAUAUCCCUUAUAGGAGCCGAUUG
rnacentral:rRNA from 1 species